AACGUAUAAGACAUUGGCUCGGAUGUAGGUUGUGCCUUUUAGUUGUCGAAGGAAGAAUUGUUCACUUCUCUCAUUGACUUCUCAACCACCGAUCUGGUCUGUUUCGCAAGUGUUCCCGGAAGUACCGCGAUGUUGCGCCUCUGGCUUUAAAAACUCUGUGUUAUCAAAAGGACUCCAUAUUAACUUCUCCAUUGGAUUGGUCGAACAGUGCAAAAGAAAACCUCCGCCUACAGUGGUUUCCUCUCUCGUCAACACCAGUAUGCUGGCAAUCUAGUUUCAGACGUUUUUUAAAUUUAUUUUUAACAUAAUUACAGUAUUUUUAAUGGGAGGAAAAUUGAGGGGAUGGCUUUAGGAUUUGUGUGACAGUUCAACAGCGCAAUUUCCGUAAAGGGCAGUCAGACGGCUGAGGGCAAAAUAAAUCGUAGAACUGGUUCUCGUAAGAGCUCGCAAGGGGGGUGUCAAAUACGGACAUUUUUUUAGUAUUUACUGAUGAUGUUGGUGGUGUCUUUGAAGAGUUUCUGCUGCCUCUCCAGCUUCUAGACAAGAUCAUCUCUGACAGUGCAACAACCUGUCCAACAUUUGACAAAGAUGCGAAGUGAACAAGUGCCAGACUUCGUGGGGAAAUGUCCAGACCGCAGCUCUUCACGUGAGACACAUCCAGAUUUGGGGUAACCUCUCCCAAUUGUCACGCCCAGCUGUUCAGACCAGAGAUGGAUCAAGAGCUCAACCUCUGCCACUAUUUCGGCAGAGAACAGACAGUGGAUUUUACUGCAGGGAUGUAUGGGGAUACAGGCGAGACUGGCAACUACAGACAGCUCCAGGCUGGACCUGUCUGUCCCCUCUCUCUCUCUCCUCUAUCCUCAUCUAUCUGUCCCCUCUCUCUCUCUCCUCUAUCCUCAUCUAUCUGUCCCCUCUCUCUCUCUCCUCUAUCCUCAUCUAUCUGUCCCCUCUCUCUCUCUCCUCUAUCCUCAUCUAUCUGUCCCCUCUCUCUCUCUCCUCUAUCCUCAUCUAUCUGUCAAUGGGAGUAAAACAUAGUAGAUGUUGCAAACUGUAUCAAAGAUCUUGUCGCCUCCUAAUGUCGCGUGUCAGACUUUACUGCUACAGAGUUGGUUUGUUCUAAUAUAUUAUACCAGACCUUGACUGAAAACCCACAGGACAGUAGAUCACCAGGAAGAGGGUUGGACUGAAAAACCUACAGGACAGUAGAUCUCCAGGAAGAGGGUUGGACUGAAAAACCUACAGGACAGUAGAUCUCCAGGAAGAGG